rnacentral:rRNA from 1 species
AACCAACAGGGAUUGCCUUAGUAGCGGCGAGUGAAGCGGCAAAAGCUCAAAUUUGAAAUCUGGUACUUUCAGUAUCCGAGUUGUAAUUUGUAGAAGCAACUUUGGUGAUGGUCUUUGCAUAAGUUCCUUGGAAUAGGACGUCAUAGAGGGUGAGAAUCCCGUUUAUGGUGAAGAACCCACACUAUGUAAAGUGCUUUCGAAGAGUCGAGUUGUUUGGGAAUGCAGCUCAAAGUGGGUGGUAAAUUCCAUCUAAAGCUAAAUAUUGGCGAGAGACCGAUAGCGAACAAGUACUGUGAAGGAAAGAUGAAAAGAACUUUGAAAAGAGAGUGAAAAAGUACGUGAAAUUGUUGAAAGGGAAGGGAUCUAAAUCAGACAUGGUAUUUUGUGAUCAACAGUCUUUCGGGACUGUGCACUCGCAUUUUACUAGGCCAGCAUCGGUUAGAAGGGGGUAAAAAAGAUUUUGGAAUGUGGCUCUUCGGAGUGUUAUAGCCAAGGUUAAUUGCCCCAUUUCUGACCGAGGACCGCGUCUUUUGACUAGGAUGCUGGCGUAAUGGUUUUGAUCCACCCG